rnacentral:rRNA from 1 species
UCCCACCAGACACCCCUAGGUGGCACCCCCUGCCCAAUGCUAAAGUAAAUGGCUGCAGUACCCUGACUGUACAAAGGUAGCAUAAUGAUUUGGCCCUUUAUUAGGGUCUAGAAUGAAAGGGGUAAUAAGGCACCACCUAUUAGACCUAGGCUCAAGCUAAUUUAAGGAGCUGAUUAAAACUUUAGCUUUAUCUCUGCCUGAAGAUAAGACCCUGUAGAGCUGCUACUAUCCUUCAACUCUAGCUGAGUAUAGCCUCUAAUAAAGUUGUGACACUAGUUUACUGGGGCGGUAAGUCAAUUUAUCUAACUACUUUAAGACCCACUAUAACUAAGAUCUUGAGCUAGUGCCUGCAUAGUUACCUCAGGGCUAACAGUGUAAUAGACUUAUAGAGCCCAAAUCGAAAAGUAUGCUUACAACCUCGAUGUUGAAUUAAAGGUGCUGUUUAGCGUAGCCGUUAGAUAAGCUGGUUUGUUCAACCAUUAAACCUUU